rnacentral:lncRNA from 1 species
CUAAGUGUGUGCUCAUCAAGAUAUUCUGUGCUGCUCAUUUAACUUUCUUUGUGUGUUGGCAUGUUUUUCAACAUAAUCAAACAGGCCCAAUAGCUUGAUUGUAUA